rnacentral:rRNA from 1 species
GGAAAAGAAACUAACAAGGAUUCCCCUAGUAACUGCGAGUGAAGCGGGAAAAGCUCAAAUUUAAAAUCUGGCAGUCUUUGGCUGUCCGAGUUGUAGUCUGGAGAAGUGCUUUCCGCGCUGGACCGUGUACAAGUCUCUUGGAACAGAGCGUCAUAGAGGGUGAGAAUCCCGUCUUUGACACGGACUACCAGUGCUUUGUGAUGCGCUCUCAAAGAGUCGAGUUGUUUGGGAAUGCAGCUCAAAAUGGGUGGUAAAUUCCAUCUAAAGCUAAAUAUUGGCGAGAGACCGAUAGCGAACAAGUACCGUGAGGGAAAGAUGAAAAGCACUUUGGAAAGAGAGUUAAACAGUACGUGAAAUUGCUGAAAGGGAAACACUUGAAGUCAGUCGCGUUGGCCAGGACUCAGCCUUGCUCUUUUGCUUGGUGCAUUUUCUGGUUGACGGGCCAGCAUCGAUUUUGACCGACGGAAAAAGGCCAAGGGAAUGUGGCACCUUCGGGUGUGUUAUAGCCCUUGGUCACAUACGCCGGUUGGGAUCGAGGACCGCAGCACGCCUUUAUGGCCGGGGUUCGCCCACGUUCGUGCUUAGGAUGCUGGCGUAAUGGCUUUAAAUGACCCGUCUUGAAACACGGACCAAGGAGUCUAACAUGCCUGCGAGUGUUUGGGUGGAAAACCCGAGCGCGUAAUGAAAGUGAAAGUUGAGAUCCCUGUCAUGGGGAGCAUCAACGCCCGGACCUGAACUUUGGUGAUGGAUCUGCGGUAGAGCAUGUAUGUUGGGACCCGAAAGAUGGUGAACUAUGCCUGAAUAGGGUGAAGCCAGAGGAAACUCUGGUGGAGGCUCGUAGCGAUUCUGACGUGCAAAUCGAUCGUCAAAUUUGGGUAUAGGGGCGAAAGACUAAUCGAACC